CGAACCCACCUUGAGGGGGAGUGUUGAAGAAAACAGAAGUGUGAAAUAAGUUUGGUAUCAGAGGCUGCACAAGCUAGGCUGCUUGUGCAGACCUCUCAUCACUGACCAAGGGAAAAAGGAAACAUCCUUUUCCUGCAAAGCAGGAAAGGUCACUUCUAUCUUUUUUCCAAUUUAGAAUUACCCGUUAGGACAACCGUUAGAAAGGAACUCAGCAUGUAUAUAUUGCCAUCACCAUUUGUAAAUAACUCAAAAUACUUGUAUCUACAUCAAUUCAUCACAGUUUAAUAAAAUUCACACAUAACCUUAGCAGCAAAUGUCACCAACCUGUUCAAAGCAUUAGGCAUGAAUUUUCUUGCGGACAAGAAUCAAAUGUCACUUAUCUUCCCAUUGUAAUUACGUACGAAUUCGAUCCUAAGCCUUAGUGACAUCAUUCUUCCAGACCUUUUAAAUUAAUAAUAUAUAACGAAUAAAAGACAAAAGAAAAAGAAAAGCGAGCAAAUUAGUUCUUUCCUCAAAUUUAAAAAACAAAAACAGAGCUCUUGUAGAAAGAAAAAGUGACAAAAAAGAAAAAGACUAAGCAAAGAAGUUUCAGGAAAGAAACAUUUUCCACUGCUCCCCUCACCUGAAUCCUCCUUUACCAGUUCUUUUCUCUAUUCCAUAACGCUCGAAAUAGAGAUCAUAAAACUUUGGGCUGCCACAAGAAACAUACGGAUCUGGCAAUUAAUAAGAUGAAUGAGAAAAUUGAACCCGAAAUGCCACUAUUGGAACCUGUUGAUAGGAUCUCGGAAUUACCUGAGCACAUUAUUCACCACAUUCUGUCCUCCCUAUUAGCAGAUGAUGUUGUUCGUACUGGUGCCUUGUCAAAGUUUUGGCAAUCCCUAUGUUCUUCCUUCCCCAUAUCUGAUUUUUCUGACUCGUUUUGUGAUCUUGAAUCAGAAUCAGCAUAGAAUCAGAAAUUCGUGACAAAAGAGACAAGUUUUUUAAUUUUGUUUACUCUUCUCUCCUAAGGCUUUGUGAGCACAGGGGAUACAUACAUAAAUUUCAUUAAUCCAUUGCCAUUACUUACUGUAACACACGUACGAGCAUUAUUCAGGAAAAACAGCAAGUUGAUCGUUGGUUGGCUAUAGCUGCAGCAAAUCAUAUUCAGGAAUUAGAUCUUCACAUUCACAUUGAAAAAUGUUCAAGAGUAGUAUAUGUAUUGCAAAAGGAAUAUCUUCUGCCUCAAUCUAUUUUAUCUGCCAAUUC